UACGUAGGGUGCGAGCGUUGUCCGGAAUUAUUGGGCGUAAAGAGCUCGUAGGCGGUUUUGUUGCGUCUAUCGUGAAAACCUGCGGCUUAACUGUGGGCUUGCGGUGGAUACGGGCAGACUUGAGUUCGGUAGGGGAAACUGGAAUUCCUGGUGUAGCGGUGAAAUGCGCAGAUAUCAGGAGGAACACCGGUGGCGAAGGCGGGUCUCUGGGCCGAUACUGACGCUGAGGAGCGAAAGCGUGGGGAGCGAACAGG
rnacentral:rRNA from 1 species